rnacentral:rRNA from 1 species
UCGUGCGGAAACGAGUUAUCUGAACCUUCGGGGGACGAUAACGGCGUCCAGCGGCGGACGGGUGAGUAAUGCCUAGGAAAUUGCCCUGAUGUGGGGGAUAACCAUUGGAAACGAUGGCUAAUACCGCAUAAUACCUUCGGGUCAAAGAGGGGGACCUUCGGGCCUCUCGCGUCAGGAUAUGCCUAGGUGGGAUUAGCUAGUUGGUGAGGUAAUGGCUCACCAAGGCGACGAUCCCUAGCUGGUCUGAGAGGAUGAUCAGCCACACUGGAACUGAGACACGGUCCAGACUCCUACGGGAGGCAGCAGUGGGGAAUAUUGCACAAUGGGCGCAAGCCUGAUGCAGCCAUGCCGCGUGUGUGAAGAAGGCCUUCGGGUUGUAAAGCACUUUCAGUCGUGAGGAAGGUAGUGUAGUUAAUAGCUGCAUUAUUUGACGUUAGCGACAGAAGAAGCACCGGCUAACUCCGUGCCAGCAGCCGCGGUAAUACGGAGGGUGCGAGCGUUAAUCGGAAUUACUGGGCGUAAAGCGCAUGCAGGUGGGUUGUUAAGUCAGAUGUGAAAGCCCGGGGCUCAACCUCGGAAUAGCAUUUGAAACUGGCACACUAUAGUACUGUAGAGGGGGG